rnacentral:rRNA from 1 species
UGGGGAAUAUUGGGCAAUGGGGGAAACCCUGACCCAGCAACGCCGCGUGAAGGAAGAAGGCCUUCGGGUUGUAAACUUCUUUUACCAGGGACGAAGGACGUGACGGUACCUGGAGAAAAAGCAACGGCUAACUACGUGCCAGCAGCCGCGGUAAUACGUAGGUUGCAAGCGUUGUCCGGAUUUACUGGGCGUAAAGGGCGUGUAGGCGGCUAAGUAAGUCUGGAGUGAAAGUCCUGCUUUUAAGGUGGGAAUUGCUUUGGAUACUGCAUAGCUAGAGUGCAGGAGAGGUAAGUGGAAUUCCCAGUGUAGCGGUGAAAUGCGUAGAGAUUGGGAGGAACACCAGUGGCGAAGGCGACUUACUGGACUGUAACUGACGCUGAGGCGCGAAAGUGUGGGGAGCAAACAGGAUUAGAUACCCUGGUAGUCCACACUGUAAACGAUGAAUGCUAGGUGUAGGUGGUAUCGACCCCAUCUGUGCCGGAGUAAACACAAUAAGCAUUCCGCCUGGGGAGUACGGCCGCAAGGUUGAAACUCAAAGGAAUUGACGGGGGCCCGCACAAGCAGCGGAGCAUGUGGUUUAAUUCGAAGCAACGCGAAGAACCUUACCAGGUCUUGACAUCCAGUAAAGCCUGUAGAGAUACAGAGUCCCUUCGGGGGUACUGAGACAGGUGGUGCAUGGUUGUCGUCAGCUCGUGUCGUGAGAUGUUGGGUUAAGUCCCGCAACGAGCGCAACCCUUAUGAUUAGUUACUAACGGGUAAAGCCGAGGACUCUAAUGAGACUGCCGGGGACAACUCGGAGGAAGGUGGGGACGACGUCAAAUCAUCAUGCCCCUUAUGACCUGGGCUACACACGUGCUACAAUGGCCACUACAAAGAGGAGCGAGCCCGUAAGGGGGAGCGGAUCUCAAAAAAGUGGUCCCAGUUCGGAUUGUGGGCUGCAACCCGCCCACAUGAAGUCGGAGUUGCUAGUAAUCGCGGAUCAGCAUGCCGCGGUGAAUACGUUCCC